AAAAGGCCCCAAAGUCACCAGUUAUAGUACUCAGUUAUUGCUAAAGUGCUUCUAGUUAACUGGUAAUCAGAAUAGGGGCUUUCGUUUCAGGGUGAGCUAGCUCAGGGGGUUGGUCGCAGGGUUAGUGACGUCACUGUUUAACUUCGUGUAAGAAAUCUAAUGUGAGGCUACAGUUGUGGGAGACCCUAAUACUAGUUAGCGUAACGUGUGCGUGAAUGACAAGAAACCACACAUACACAUACAAAUAUCCUCUCCUCAUAUGUUUCGUGGAAAUAAAGAGAAGAAGAAAUUAUUGGAUAAGUCUCCAGCCCUUUUCUGACCCGUACUCUGAAUAGCCUUAAGAAGUGCUCUGGCCGGCACCCUAGUAUGAACUUGAUGAUUAAACCUAGACUAGCACCUUACAGUCUCUCCAGUACAACUUGUAUUUGUACAUGUUGUGAAUUGCUAUUUUUUUAGGCACACAUUAGUUUAAAUAAAUCUAAACGUUAAUUUUCAUAAUUCAGUAGAUACUAUUUUUGUUUGUGUAAUUAACCAUUAGUUUUAAAUAUUACUAAAUAAAGUUUGUUGGAUCUGGCCAAUUGUUUGGACUCAAUCCUUCUCUAAGUCUAGAUCCAGUGCCUUCUUUGGUUCAGUUUCCUUCUCUGUUGCAAAAUUUUGGAUUAUUUGGAUGUUUUGCUUGAAAAGUUUGAAAAUGGAAAACGAGUAAGUUUGUUUUUUGUUUUUUUUAAGUUGAUGUAAGUUAUGGAAAGACAUCAAAACAGUUGAGCUACAUGUCUGAGCUUGCGUUUUUUUAUUGUUACAUGUAACAUUUAAUUCAUUUCAAUAAAUAUCUCUGCCUGUU